GACGAACGCUGGCGGCGUGCUUAACACAUGCCAGUCGAACGCUGAAGCUCAGCUUUUGUUGGGUGGAUGAGUGGCGAACGGGUGAGUAACACGUGAGUAACCUGCCCCCUUCUUUGGGAUAACGCCCGGAAACGGGUGCUAAUACUGGAUAUUCACUGGUCUUCGCAUGGGGGUUGGUGGAAAGGGUUUUUCUGGUGGGGGAUGGGCUCGCGGCCUAUCAGCUUGUUGGUGGGGUGAUGGCCUACCAAGGCUUUGACGGGUAGCCGGCCUGAGAGGGUGACCGGUCACAUUGGGACUGAGAUACGGCCCAGACUCCUACGGGAGGCGGCAGUGGGGAAUAUUGCACAAUGGGCGCAAGCCUGAUGCAGCGACGCCGCGUGAGGGAUGGAGGCCUUCGGGUUGUGAACCUCUUUCGCUCAUGGUCAAGCCGCAACAAUGGUUGUGGUGAGGGUAGUGGGUAAAGAAGCGCCGGCUAACUACGUG
rnacentral:rRNA from 1 species